rnacentral:rRNA from 1 species
UACGUAGGGUGCGAGCGUUGUCCGGAAUUACUGGGCGUAAAGAGCUCGUAGGUGGUUUGUCGCGUUGUUCGUGAAAACCGGGGGCUUAACCCUCGGCGUGCGGGCGAUACGGGCAGACUUGAGUACUGCAGGGGAGACUGGAAUUCCUGGUGUAGCGGUGGAAUGCGCAGAUAUCAGGAGGAACACCGGUGGCGAAGGCGGGUCUCUGGGCAGUAACUGACACUGAGGAGCGAAAGCGUGGGGAGCGAACAGG